CUUAGGAAAUUAUUUGGCCUGAUGGGUUUGUGACACUGGAAGAAGGUUGAAAUCAGAAAAGGUAAUUUUCUUGCUCUCUACUGAAAAGCAGUAAAAUUGAUUUGUUGCUGAUAUUUUGGGGAGAUUUGUUUCUGGAGACAGCAGGGAAAAGCUAAUUCAGCCAGAAAGUCUUCCUGUUUUCCAGGACAAAUCUGUCUGUUUUUCUGUUACAUUGUCAUUGCCUUCAGCAGAAUUAGUAGCCAAGGAGGUGCUAAGAAAUUCUGUCUUAGACUUUAGAAAUAUAAGGGAUGGAAAAUUCAUUCUUGACUCGGGAGCUGCUGGUUUGUCCAGCCUCUGGUGGCACACGCCUGCCUCACGAGGGGAUCUGCAAAGGCACUUUGGGAAAUUUAGGAGCUGAGCAGCAGCACUCUUUGGCUCCUGGUGUCACUGAGGCAUCCAGUUCCUCAGGAGCUGAGCUGGGCUGGUGAGAGCAGGGCUCUGGAUGAGCACCCAGGACAGCAGAGACAAUAAUUAGUGCAAAGGCGUGUGGGGGAAUGUCUCGCUCGCACCGAGGACAGCGCGGAGCCGCACCACCCACGAGGCAUCACUGGGAUGAUGACUUAAUUGAAAAGAGUUGCUCAAGCAUGUACCAGGCCUGGCACAGAGUUAGAAACUUCUGCUUCAGCUGGUUGCAUUCAUGUGUUCAGGCCUCUUCAGCACUUCAGAUCCCAGCUGAAACAAGAAAUGGGAGGAUGCAGAGUAAAGCUGCCAUGAGUACACAAGUGAGAGGUGGAGUGUUCUACUUCAUUCCAGAGAACAGGAAUCAUAUCUGAAUUGGGAAUAGCUGCCAGCAAGUGCUGCUCUGAGGGAAAGGCAGUGGCUGUUUACCUGCCCUGCUCAGCCAGUCCAGGGAGGACAGGAGAACAAUUAAAUGGUUUACCUUCCUCACAAUAAUUACUUUCCUGAAACAUGGCUGGAAAGAAAGAAGGAAUUCCCACUGGUGAAAGUCAGAACAUAAGGGUUUGGAUCACAUCCAGUAACAGAACUAAAUCCAGUCCUGUGUUAAGAUGAUGCCAGGGGAUUGCAGAUGUCAAGCACAGGUUUUAAGAUCUGAAGUGAGCUGUUGCUGAUUCCAAUACAUUGAGACUGGGACCAAGGCAGACCCUGAUCAUCUCUCUGAGGAGGUCAUGCAGAAAACCAAAGGUUACUCACAACUUGGGUGAGGACACCAAAAGAAAGAGUUCAGCAAGGAAGCCUGUGUAUUUCUUAAAGGUGGUGUCUUCAUCAAGUGCAAAUCAGUCUGUUCUGUGAAUUGAGGCAUGCAGGAGUAAACAAGCCUACCUGUUUGGUUGCUCAUUCCUUGCAGGAUGUGUGUGGAGUGUGGACAGCUCAUCCACCGGCCUAACUGCCUGAGCCAGCACAAGGAUGGAGGGCAUAUCCAAAGCUUUCAGAAGGAGACUGAAACCAUGGGCUGGAUUUGCUAAGAUCUGUCAAACUUUUUCUGCCUUAUUGAGAGCAAAUAUGGACUGGAUUGCCAAGAUGGAAUUUUACCAGCAUGCUGUAGACAGGAGAAAGCUGCCUUAGGGCUUCAGUGGCCCAGGAACCAGGCCCUGUUUUCCACUCCCUAUGGAUUGGUAAUACAGUUCUCAUUGCAGACAGCCAAACUCAAGAGCAACAUCCACAGUUCUGGUUGCAUUGUGCUAGAAAAAAUGGUUUUGAAGGACCUCAGCUUGAUUCAGCACUAAUCCAAAAUACUGCACAGUGCUGAGGAAAUGAGGAAGAACCUCAUCACCUUAAUAUUGCAGAAGUUCAUCUGUGUCCUGCAGUGCUGGUGCAAGGAAAUGAGGAGCAGUUCCCUCAGUAAGUUCAUUCACACUCUGUGUCUGCUUUGGUUUCGGACCCACAUUGCUCCCCGACAGAAGACAGUGACAUGAUAGGAGUGGUGACACAAGGCUCUUACUGUUACAUUCAAUAAUUGAUUCUCCUGGAUGGAUUGUGACUCCCUAAAGGUUGCAAAGAGAGAAGCAGCGAUACAUGUUCUUCAGUUAUAUAUAGAUGAAUGUUCAUUCCAUGUGCUGUUUUCAGCUGUGUACUUACACCAGUCCAAAAUCCCAAAGAGGAAAGUAAAAGCUGAGAUUCACAUCAGUAGCAGAGAACAUCAGGUGAUGUUGAUUUAAAGAAAACAUUAAUCAAUCCAGAUUUGCUUGGAACGGGGCCCAGGUUCACUCAUCAGGUUGGUGAACCUUAGCAAAUGUUUCUGUGAAUCUGUUCUGUGUUUUGACUCUGUAACAUGAUCUGAAAUCAUCUGAGUUUCAUGUGGUUUUGUUGUGCACGUUUGGAACGCUCGUGGGGCGAAUCCAGGGAAAGACAGAGGUGCUGAAUUUUGCAUGACGUGGUAAGGGAGCCCCCUCUGAGGUCUUUGAGAUUCCAGCCAGCAUUGGAAGUGACAGCCCAGAUAAGGCAGAAAGAGCUGAAUUGUCCUGCUACCUGGUUAAUGGGCAUGCUUUGGAUUCACACUGGAUCCUGGAAGCAGAAUUGUCCCCUGUGGAUGUAGAAGUAUCAUGGUAACUCUCCUCAGGUUGCAUCUGCCAUCUUAUCAGAGCAAUCUGACUGCACUGAAGAAGCUGCAUAAUAUUUUCAGUGGCCUGGAUUUUUCACUUGAUAUAUAGCAAAUAUAUGAAGAAUGGCUCUAUAAGUAUCUGUGAAUUCUUCAGAAGAUUGUUUUGCAAGAGAAAGUUCUACAAGAAACAGUAACUUAGGAAAAGCAAAUCUGAGGGAUAGGAGGUGAACCUCAAUUUAAAUGAGUGCUGCCUGGGAACUUAAAAGUAUAGAUACAAAUAUUUUGAGGAGCACAGACUCCUCAAAUCACAGAGAUUUUUUCCUAUGGUUUUGAAUGUGUAUCAGACUUCCAGUCCCUGUUGUCUAUAUAAAAGAGGGCGCAUAAUAUCUGAAGGGCUCUAUUUUUCCAGAAAAUAGACCCAUCUAAGAAAACAUAGUCAAUUUUUGAGGCAUUAGUUACAAGGUGAGUGCACCUGCUGCAGUUGUAGAUGGGUGGGUUCUUUCCUCUAUUCCUGGUGAAGUUUUUAGAGUUUUCAGAUACAUUCAUUAUCCACUUUUACUUCUCUUUCUUAGAGAACUCCCAGGCUUAGGCAGAAGAGAGGGUGGCUGUGGCUUGCCUUGGCUGGGGGUUGUCACUCUGGGCAGGCAUAAGGCCAUGGCACGAAACCAGGGUGGGGUCACAGCACUGGAAAUUUUAUUGUAGCAUAAAAAUAGCUCCCUGCCAAAGUCCUCAGAGAGGAAUGCAUUUCAAGGUCAGUUACACUCCACAAUCAUCUCCGAACAUACUUGUAAAUAAAUUGCAUGGGCUUAGCUCUGCUGUCAUUGACAUUUCCCCCCAAGUAAAUGCCAGGCCUGCUGAGGAGAAAAUUCCACUGACUGAGAGCCCCACACCUGAACAAGCUUAGAGCUUCUCUUGUCAGCUGGGAUUUAGUAGUCUCAGUUCUAGGUGGCAGCAAAGCCCUUCUCAAACCCUCUGAGUUGCUUGGGGUACACCUGCCCUGGGUAGUGGAGAGCAGAGGGACCUGAGUCCCUGCUGGCAGGGC